rnacentral:pre_miRNA from 1 species
UGAACAUUGGGAUCGUCGGUCUACUCAGCAAUUUCACCCGCUUGGUGGAAGAUCUUUCCUUUGUCGU